GUAUUAAGUUUUUGUACCAUGAGAAACAAACUGUUAGGAAAAUUCAUUCUGGAAUGUCAUGUUUGUCCAUUUUUGUUUUAAUUGUAUUAUGAAUAAAAAAUUUUAAAAAAGCUCACCAUAAAACUAUUCUAUGGAUGUAUAAGACUGCUUCAGAAAAGUCAGCAGCACAAUUGAGACUCCUGAACUCGCAUACAUCAGAUUUCAACCAUUCACAAUCUGAACAAACAAAAGGAGUGGUUGACAUAUUACUAUUCACUGAAGUAUUUGAUAUGUUUCACAUUAACUUGCAUCUUCAUAACUUACAGUAUUUUCCUCUCCAUUUUACCACCUCAUCCCAAUUUAAGUUCUACGUCAGUUUAGCUACUUCAUGCAUCAAGGUAAGCUCUAGGUCAUGAAAAUCUAUAUUUUAAACCUGAAAAAAUGCAACCAGACUGAUUUUUGAUAUUUAUUUAUUAAUAUUAUUUAUUAAUAAAAUUUAUAUGCCACCCAAUAUCAUAGGCUAACAGUCUUCCUUCUAUAAUGAAUUAACAAUGCAUCUGUUAAUAGAUUUAUAGACCACCUUGCUUAAGUUUAUUGUUGACUGAUUUUGAAUCUAAUUAAGUUUUUCUUGCUAAAUCAAAAUGUGAAUUGUUGGGUUUUCUGGUAUGAAUGAAGUUACUGUUUAGGAACUGCAUUUUUCCUUUAUUUUGGCAGUAAAAUAAAAAUAUAUAAAAUAAGAUCACUGAAAGGCUAUUAUAGCAGUUGAACUGAUAGAACGUGCUGUACCAUAAUAUAAUAUGUUUGGCUUUGCUUAGCAUCAUCUUCAGUGCCAUCAAAAAUAUUUUAUUCCCAUGAUCAUCAAACUUUCAGAUCUGUAAGUACUUUUGAAAAGUUGACAUUCCAUGGAUAGUUACAAAAUAGCUCCUGGAGUGUGGCACACCUAUUAAUUAUGAAUUUAUUUCCUACUUAUUGUUAGGAAUACUCUCUGCCAUUGUCUUGGAAGAUUGGGGGGCAAGAAAGCAAAAGCGUGCUUAUGGUGCCUACUCUUUAUUCUUAUUUUCAAUAAAUGCUUGAAGGAUAUGUCUGUGUUCCAAAAACAUUUUGGAAAUAAAAUGUGUAUUUUGUUGGUACAGUAUACUGAAAUAUACUGUAUUAAUUAAUAUAAGCGACAAUGAAAUUCACACUCAAUCAUAAUAAUCUAACUAUACAAUUAAAUGUAAAUGUUUCCCCUGUCCGUUCAUGUCCAACUCUAGGAGGUGGUACUCAUCUGUUUCUUAACUGAGAGAACCAACGUUGUCCGAAGAUGCUUCAGUGGCCAGCAUGUCUAUACACCAAAGUGCACAUAACACUGUUACCUUCGCAACUAAGUGGUAUCUAUUUAUCUACUCACAUUUGCAUGCUUUUGAACUGCUAGCCUCUGCUCCUUUACUUGAUCCCUCUGCUUGUCUCACAGAAGCCUCUCCUCUUCUCUCUCUCUCUCCUCACUGCUUGUCUCACAGAAGCCUCUCUUCUCCCUCUCCCUUUCUCCUUACUGUCUACUGGGCUCUUUCCACAGCCUCUACUUCUUCAUUUGAUCCCUCUGCUUGUCUCACAGAAGCCUCUCUUCUAUCUCUCUUUCCCCAUCUUUUUUUCUCUUCCUCUCCUGCCAAAAUCUCCUUUUAUAUCCUCUCCUCUCCCCCCCCCCCUUUCCUCCUCUUCUCUUCUGGGUGCGCCACUGUCUGGGACUCAGGGAGAGCUGCAGCAUUGGUCGCUACCCGUCUCACUCCCGCAUGUAGUCACCCGCUCCCCGGCUGGCCGUUGCACAUAUUGCUGCUCAAUUGGAGCUCUGUGUGCCAAUCCUGGGCCUCUGCCAAGCCCCAGCAGCUCUGCAGCUCAGCUGACUCUCACCUCAAGGCCUGUCUGCUGCUCCCUGUGAUAACAGAGGCUGCCAGAAGCACCAAUCAGUUGCAGCUGCAUGCACCAAUCCAGGACCCUCAGCAGAGCCCCAGUUCCAGCUGACUCUCCACCCGAAGACUGCGUGUGGCUGCCUACCACCCCAAAAGACCAGAAGCACUAAUCAGCUGGAGCCACAUGCACUGAUCCUGGGCCCUCAGCAGAGCCCCAGCUGACUCUCUCCCAGGCCUGGGCGGCACUGCCAUCACUUCAGUUCAUCCCCCCACUACACUUGUCUAGGUCACGUACCACCUGCCAGGUGCCAAAGUACCACCAGUGGUACACGUACCACCAAUUGAAAAGCCCUGCUCUAAAUCAUCCAAUAUCCUAUUUGUAUUUUACAAUAAUGCAGCAAGGCACAUUCCAAGAGCAUAUCAGAUGAGAAGGAGAAAAAAAAGGACAAAAACCAAGGAUUGUUUUUAUAGUAGUGAAGAUGAAAGAUGAAACCUUUUCUAAAAUCAGCAGAGGUAUCAUUUUUGCCUUUGAACAGAUACUCAUAACUGUCUAUAUCAAACACAGUUCAGACAAAUAGCUGUAAAAAGAUACUAAAUAUGAAUAUUUAAUGAAUAUAGGGUAGCUUACAGCAGCACAUGAUAGAAGUCACAGUAACCAAGCUACUUGAACAUAUGUAUUUUAACAAAUCAUUUAAUUUACAGUUUCAAUCGGGGUUAAGGUAGAGUAUAACGUAUAUAUUACCCAGUUUAUGGCCAUGUGUGACAGUUAAUUUCCUCCUGUUAACUUCCACUGAUUUUCAUACAUCAACUUUAAUAGUAUUAUAAAUGCAUGCAGUCUUCUAAAACGCCACUCUCAAAGGUUCUGUGUCAGUAUCUGGAAGGUGACCCUUAUGGGAUGUGUAUCCAAUUUGCAGUGUUCUGUGUUUGAGCUUGCAUGUUCAUUAUAUUCAUCAUAGUACUGAAAAUUCAAGCCAUCUGAAGUGAAGUUAGAAUCAAACAAUAAAAUUCUAAAAGCAAAAUCAUGUAUAUUCCAUGCUAAAAUACUCUCAUUUAUUAUAUAACCAUGUGGAAUUUCCUUUAGGAAUUCAACAAUAUCAUAUUUUAUGUAAUAUAAUUUUGAAACAAAAACACUUUCAAGUAUGUUAUCUGUAUUUGUUUUUUUUGGAAAAUACCUUAGACAUACUUGAUAAUUAGAAGCUCUCAAAAGGUGGAUUUAAACAAAGCUGAUUGAAGUUUAAUAAUUCCUAUCCAUUUUUAAUGGAUUUUUAUGUGUUGCAGCUAAAUUAUUUUAAUUUCCGUUUUUAACACUAUAUAUAAAUGGAAGCAAGACUAUAAAGACAAAUGAAGUUUUAUGAGCAGGUCUUUCUUAGAGAUGAUCAAAUAGAAAAGGCCAAUUCACAGUUAUAAUUUCUGUGUGUUAUAAGCAGUAUUUAUCCAUUUCAAACUGUAUUAAUAAAAAUAAACGUAACAGUUCACAACAUUCCAACUAGAUUUUUUGGGACUUAAGAGUGUUAUAGAUCAAUAAUUGCUAGAAAAAUAUUCAGAAACGUAUGUAAAGUUUAGACCAACAAAAAAUAAUUAUCAUAAUCUAACAAAGAGAAAGUCAGCAGUAAGUAAUAGAACUUGUAUCUUUCCACCAUUUUUUCACCUCACAAUUACUGACAAGACUUGUGUACAUAUUUCUGCACCUGCAUUUAUAAAAGCAGAUAAAAUAUUUAAUGUGUGAUUUACCAUUUAUUUUACCAGCAUGGAGUACAGGAUGAAUAUAUCAAAGUAGUCAAGCAGUUAUAUAUCAAUGGUACCCCUGCAAAAAUAGUAUCCAGGUAUCUGCUAAUUAAAAAGAAAUGGAUUUGCAAUUGUGAAGAAAUACAACUUGAUCUACCACAAAAUACAAAGGGCUGCAAAAAAUGUCUAAUUCCAAUAAGGUGUAUAAGUUAUUAAAUAAUGAUCUCAUUUAAAAUAUAAAUGAAGCCAUAAGUCUUUCUCACAUGCAAUAUUAUUCAUUAUUAAAGAAAUAU